GGGUUCUUAGCUUAAUUGGUAAAGUACCUAAGCGUCACUUAGGGAGAUACCGGUUCGAAUCCGGCAGAACUCG